GAUUGAAAGCAAGAGGAGGAUGAGGUUAUGUUUGCCUUGGCAUCCUGCCUAAGCACUGGCAUUGAGCUGAAUGUGCCCCUCCACUGAUGGCCACUGCAUCUCCCAAGGCUGCUUAGUUUCUGUGGCUGUCUUCUUCAGGGUCUGAGAAGCUCCACCCUUGCCUUUCCCCGUUGGCCUAAGAGUGAUUUGUCAAGAAUUCCAAAACUGAAACAGUAUGAUAUAAUAGUGGUCAUUUCUGUGAGGAGUCAAAAACAGUGAUGAGUGGUCUGGCUCCUCUUUUGUGUGCACAGUUACAAGCUUCCCAAUAUCAAACUUAAGUUUCGAAGUUGUCUUUCCUGAUGCCUGGCUUUUGGAUGCUACAGAAGGCUCCCAGAGUGUCCAAAAGAGAGGUAAACAAGAUUAUUUGAUGUGUUUGGAUACAUGAGAUUGCCAAAAUGGUGUUCAAUCUUCUUU
rnacentral:lncRNA from 1 species